AGACUGACUUUGCUUUUCAAGCAUUAGAUUUUGAUUAUUUCAAAAAUGGCAAGGUAUGGUUGGACCAAUAACAAGUUUUUAGUAUAUAAUCGCAUUUUGAUAGGAAUCUGUGGAUGGAUCUUCAAUUCCUCCAUGGAGCCGUUUUGUGCGAUUACAUAG
rfam:Solanum tuberosum cultivar DM 1-3 516 R44 scf00561_11, whole genome shotgun sequence.